GGUCGCGUGGCCUAGUGGUUUCAUGGCGUCUCCUUUACAAUAAUCUGAAACGGAGAAGGUCGCAGGUUCGAUCCCUGCCGCGAUCA